rnacentral:rRNA from 1 species
GACGAACGCUGGCGGCGUGCCUAAUACAUGCAAGUAGAACGCUGAAGAGAGGAGCUUGCUCUUCUUGGAUGAGUUGCGAACGGUUGAGUAACGCGUAGGUAACCUGCCUUGUAGCGGGGGAUAACUAUUGGAAACGAUAGCUAAUACCGCAUAACAAUAGGUGACACAUGUCAUUUAUUUGAAAGGGGCAAUUGCUCCACUACAAUAUGGACCUGCGUUGUAUUAGCUAGUAGGUGAGGUAACGGCUCACCUAGGCGACGAUACAUAGCCGACCUGAGAGGGUGAUCGGCCACACUGGGACUGAGACACGGCCCAGACUCCUACGGGAGGCAGCAGUAGGGAAUCUUCGGCAAUGGGGGCAAACCUGACCGAGCAACGCCGCGUGAGUGAAGAAGGUUUUCGGAUCGUAAAGCUCUGUUGUAAGUCAAGAACGAGUGUGAGAGUGGAAAGUUCACACUGUGACGGUAGCUUACCAGAAAGGGACGGCUAACUACGUG